CCAUCACAAGGACUUUUUCAAGGCUUAUAAUGUGGUUGGGCUAACAAGAAACAUUGGUUUUUCAAAUCACAAAAUCCUUGAGUUAAGAGAGUUAUUCACACAAUCAUGGUUCAAGCACAAACUCUCUUUUUACCAAUCUCACUCAUUCCUAACUUUCCCCUUUUUCUUUUCUUUAACAUUGAGUUCACCUUUCAUGCUUUUUCUUUUCUUUUCUUUCUUUUCUCAUGCUUUUUUUUCAUUCAACACUUGAGCUCAAUGCCUUUCUUUUGCCUUUCAUCUUAUCCCAAAAACCCCAAACUUGAACCUUUAUCAACACCACAAAAUAUUUCUCAACCUAACUCAAGGUAAAG
rnacentral:lncRNA from 1 species